CUCCUACGGGAGGCAGCAGUAAGGAAUAUUGGUCAAUGGACGAAAGUCUGAACCAGCCAUGCCGCGUGAAGGAUGAAGGCCCUCUGGGUUGUAAACUUCUUUUAUAGGGGACGAAAAAAGGGAAUUCUUUCCCACUUGACGGUACUCUAGGAAUAAGCACCGGCUAACUCCGUGCCAGCAGCCGCGGUAAUACGGAGGGUGCAAGCGUUAUCCGGAUUCACUGGGUUUAAAGGGUGCGUAGGUGGGUCUGUAAGUCAGUGGUGAAAUCUCCGGGCUUAACUCGGAAACUGCCAUUGAUACUAUAGGUCUUGAAUUAUCUGGAGGUGAGCGGAAUAUGUCAUGUAGCGGUGAAAUGCUUAGAUAUGACAUAGAACACCGAUUGCGAAGGCAGCUCACUACGGAUCGAUUGACACUGAGGCACGAAAGCGUGGGGAUCAAACAGGAUUAGAUACCCUGGUAGUCCACGCCCUAAACGAUGGAUACUCGACAUUUGUGAUAUACUAUAAGUGUCUGAGCGAAAGCAUUAA
rnacentral:rRNA from 1 species